CCUACGGGCGGCUGCAGUGGGGAAUAUUGGACAAUGGGCGAAAGCCUGAUCCAGCCAUGCCGCGUGAGUGAUGAAGGCCCUAGGGUUGUCAAGCUCUUUUGUGCGGGAAGAUAAUGACGGUACCGCAAGAAUAAGCCCCGGCUAACUUCGUGCCAGCAGCCGCGGUAAUACGAAGGGGGCUAGCGUUGCUCGGAAUCACUGGGCGUAACGGGUGCGUAGGCGGGUUUCUAAGUCAGAGGUGAAAGCCUGGAGCUCAACUCCAGAACUGCCUUUGAUACUGGAGGUCUUGAGUUCGGGAGAGGUGAGUGGAACUGCGAGUGUAGAGGUGAAAUUCGUAGAUAUUCGCAAGAACACCAGUGGCGAAGGCGGCUCACUGGCCCGAUACUGACGCUGAGGCACGAAAGCGUGGGGAGCAAACAGGAUUAGAUACCCGAGUAGUC
rnacentral:rRNA from 1 species